UACGGGGGGAGCAAGCGUUGUCCGGAUUUAUUGGGCGUAAAGGGCGCGUAGGCGGCGGGGUAAGUCUGGUGUGAAAUCUCGGAGCUCAACUCCGAAAUUGCACUGGAUACUGCUCUGCUAGAGGGCUGGAGAGGAGAUCGGAAUUCACGGUGUAGCAGUGAAAUGCGUAGAUAUCGUGAGGAAGACCAGUGGCGAAGGCGGAUCUCUGGACAGCUCCUGACGCUGAGGCGCGAAGGCUAGGGGAGCAAACGGG
rnacentral:rRNA from 1 species